GAUGAACGCUGGCGGCGUGCCUAAUACAUGCAAGUCGAGCGAACAGGCGAGGAGCUUGCUCCUCUGACGUUAGCGGCGGACGGGUGAGUAACACGUGGAUAACCUACCUAUAAGACUGGGAUAACUUCGGGAAACCGGAGCUAAUACCGGAUAAUAUAUUGAACCGCAUGGUUCAAUAGUGAAAGACGGUUUUGCUGUCACUUAUAGAUGGAUCCGUGCCGCAUUAGCUAGUUGGUAAGGUAACGGCUUACCAAGGCAACGAUGCGUAGCCGAGCUGAGAGGGUGAUCGGCCACACUGGAACUGAGACACGGUCCAGACUCCUACGGGAGGCAGCAGUAGGGAAUCUUCCGCAAUGGGCGAAAGCUUGACGGAGCAACGCCGCGUGAGUGAUGAAGGUCUUCGGAUCGUAAAACUCUGUUAUUAGGGAAGAACAAAUGUGUAAGUAACUAUGCACGUCUUGACGGUACCUAAUCAGAAAGCCACGGCUAACUACGUG
rnacentral:rRNA from 1 species